AACAGUAGAAUUCUAAAUUAUAAAAUUUUAUAAUGAUAAACUAAAAUUGAUUAAGGGUAAAAUUUAAUAGUAGAGGUUUGAAUUUAUCAUAAUAAAGAUAUUAAUUAAAACAAGGAUUAGAUACCCUUUUAUUUUUAUUCAAUAUAUAAAUUGGAGAGUACGAGCAAUAGCUUAAAAACUAAAGAAUAUGGCGGUGUUUUAUUCGAUCAGGGUGACAUGUAUCUUAAUUUGAUAGUCCACGGUUUUUAAGCCUGACUUUGAAAUUCAGCAUGUGUACUGCCGUUUUACAUAGUUUUAAAAAAUUGUGUAUAAUAUAUGAAUCUUUCAUAUAAUUAGUCAGGUCAAAGCGCAGUCUAUAGUCAGGUGAGAAUGUGUUACAUUUAUUUAAACAUUCAAUUUAUUGAUUUAAAUUUUAAUAAGAAGAAGAACUUGAUAGUAAUUAAAUUGAUUAAAUUUAAUGAAAAGGAUUUUAACGCGUACAAAUCGCCCGUCACUCCUUUAUAAAGG
rnacentral:rRNA from 1 species